rnacentral:snRNA from 1 species
AAAUAUUGGAACGAUACAGAGAAGAUUAGCAUGGGCCCUGCGCAAGGAUGACACGCAAAUUCAUGAAGCGUUCCAUAUAAAA